AUACGGGGGGUGCAAGCGUUAUUCGGAUUUAUUGGGCGUAAAGGGCGCGUAGGCGGCUUGGUAAGUCAGAUGUGAAAGCCCGGGGCUCAACCCCGGAAGUGCAUUUGAAACUAUCAGGCUUGAGUAUGGGAGAGGGAAGUGGAAUUCCUGGUGUAGAGGUGGAAUUCGUAGAUAUCAGGAGGAACACCGGUGGCGAAGGCGACUUCCUGGACCAAUACUGACGCUGAGGCGCGAAGGCGUGGGGAGCAAACAGGAUUAGAAACCCUAGUAGUCC
rnacentral:rRNA from 1 species